rnacentral:rRNA from 1 species
CCUGAUGCAGCAACGCCGCGUGAGGGAUGACGGCCUUCGGGUUGUAAACCUCUUUUAGUAGGGAAGAAGCGACUGAGUUUACUCUGAGUGACGGUACCUGCAGAAAAAGCACCGGCUAACUACGUGCCAGCAGCCGCGGUAAUACGUAGGGUGCAAGCGUUGUCCGGAAUUAUUGGGCGUAAAGAGCUCGUAGGCGGUUUGUCGCGUCUGCUGUGAAAUCCCGAGGCUCAACCUCGGGCUUGCAGUGGGUACGGGCAGACUAGAGUGCGGUAGGGGAGAUUGGAAUUCCUGGUGUAGCGGUGGAAUGCGCAGAUAUCAGGAGGAACACCGAUGGCGAAGGCAGAUCUCUGGGCCGUAACUGACGCUGAGGAGCGAAAGCAUGGGGAGCGAACAGGAUUAGAUACCCUGGUAGUCCAUGCCGUAAACGUUGGGCGCUAGAUGUAGGGACCUUUCCACGGUUUCUGUGUCGUAGCUAACGCAUUAAGCGCCCCGCCUGGGGAGUACGGCCGCAAGGCUAAAACUCAAAGGAAUUGACGGGGGCCCGCACAAGCGGCGGAGCAUGCGGAUUAAUUCGAUGCAACGCGAAGAACCUUACCAAGGCUUGACAUACACCGGAAACGGCCAGAGAUGGUC